GCUGGGCAUGGUGGCUCAUGCCUGUAAUCCCAGCACUUUGGGAGGCUGAGGUGGGUGGAUCACCUGAGGUCAGGAGUUCAAGACCAGCCUGGCCAACAUGGUGAAACCCCAUCUCUA
rnacentral:SRP_RNA from 1 species